rnacentral:lncRNA from 1 species
CUUGUCUGUGACAAAUGAGUUUUGUCUCGGUUCCAUGGUAGGAAUAUUCAUGAUAUUGCUAUCUGUCGUGUUGAAGUAACAGAAGCAUUGGAAGUGCUUGUUUGCAGUCACUCGUGCCUUGCUUCUGUUUAUGGAUUUCUUCACCCUUCAGAUUUCAGCUGCCUCAGUGCCAUGAAAGCUUACUGAAAAGCAGAACUGACACUUAAAGUGUUGUAGGCAAGGAGCAUCGUGCAGCGAUGGCUUUGGCUGUGAAGGCUGUUGGAGCUCUGCUGAGAAUGACCUCACUGUACCGAAGGGUCUUUGAAGCUUGGGGUGUAAGGGCUGCAGCCUAUUCCUCCAGUGCUGUUCUCAGAGCUGCAGGCUUCCUGCAGAACAGUAAGAAAUUCUCCCAGAGUUGAACAUCUAUUAAGCAAGAGACUCGAAAUUGAUAAUCCAUAGAAAACAAUGUUAAUUUCCUCUUCCUUCCCAAUUUAGUCUAGCAAAUGUUGUAACUUCAAGGAAAAUUGAGUAAGAGCCAGUCAGGUCAUUAUAAAUCAAAUCCCGUUGUUUGUGGUUGAAGGGUAUUUUGGGUAAUGCUCAUGCAGCACGAGUCCUUGUCUGUUCCUUGUCAUCUUCAGCAGUGCUGGUGGUUGGAGGGGGAGGAAUCAACAUUUCCCCCAGAUAAAGGCAAAAUCAGUGGGAAAGGAAUUUAAUUUUUGAGAUUCCAUACAGGCAGUACAAACAAUGGCAAAUAAACAAGUAGCUCAGAGCGUUUCUUUAAUCACAGGGCUGCUGUGCAGGUGCCCAAACAGUGAGCUCUGUUUGCUAAAUGGAAAAUGGCAAAUUUAGUAGGGAAAGUGUUUUUUCUCUUCAGCCUUUUGGGGAUUGCGAUGAAGACCAACGAGGAGUUUCUGAACUCAUCCUGCAGCAAAGCCAGCUGCAAAAAGUGAUUCUUUCAAAUCAUUGCUUUGCAUAUAGUAGUGGAAAACCCCCCGCAAACCACAGCGUCUCAGCUGUGGAGGUAAACAUUUUGGCGUGAGCCUGGUGGAAUACUUACGAGUGCUACUUUGAUACGAUCUCUAAUGCUGCUUGUAAUCAGGUAACUGAGGGAGUGAUGUGAAUGGUUAAUGAAUGCAAACCAGGCAUUUGUGGCAUAAGAUCUAUCAAGCAGAUACUGUAAAGCUCUCAUUAGGAAGUGUAUUUCUUUCCUUGGCGGCCCACUAAUUCAUACUAAAGCCUGUUGUUGGAAUAAUGAGCUGCGGGUGGUUUGCAAACAAAGUCUGUGAGUCCUGUCUUGUUACUUUGAUUUAUUCAUUGAUUGAUUUUGGGUGAUGUGAAGCCUUUGGUGUAACCACCAAAAUAAGCUGUAUUUUCCACCCUGAGCUGUGCUGUGAAGUUGCACCAUUAGCGUGUCCUCCUGCAUUUGUACGGUUUUGCUUUACUAACUUAAUCCUGCAUGCUGUGCUUAAUGUCAUCCAUUAAUUUUUAAUAAAUGUUUAGAGAAUCGGUUUUCCCUAUUGGAAAAAUAAAAGGAAAAUAAAUUACUGGAGAAUUCAUUUUAUUUAGCGAAACCUCCUAAGGUGAGAAUCUGGUAGUGUUUUCUGGCCGUGUAGUUUGCAUUUCUAACGUGCAAAUAGAGUGGUGUGUGUGUUAUGAGGAGAAGAUGACACAAUCUGUCAUCCCCGCCGCCAUGCAGGGCCGCACCAGCAGUUGUUUGGUUGGAAGGGAUACCUCUGGUGAAUUAAUCUCUCUUCUGGUGAUAAGGGAGGGAAGAUAGCUCCUUCUCAAUGCAAAGUUAAAUGUCAAUAGGGAUAUUAAUGAACUCCCGUUAGCCUGCUGGGCUUGGCCAGUCUGCAAUGGAAACCUUGGGCCCGUUUCUCUCUCCUUUGGCCUACCUUUCUGCUGGUUGCUGCUACUGGUUUCAGCCAUUCCCUGCCUUGCUCCCAGGCCUGCUUUUGCUGGCCCUGAGCUUCUGACUGCCCUUCCACAGGACGGCCCUGUGAUUGCUGAAAGCAAUUACCGAACUGGGACCCCAUUUGUGACUUGCUGUGUGGGAUCCUACGUGUUUUGUCUGCUUUCUUAAUAUCUCUGCGAUAUUAUUCAAAUUAAGGGAAAGGGAAUAAAAAAACAAACUCAGAGGGCAGCUGCUUAUGGGACAGAGCUGUUUGUUUCCUGCUAACACUUCUCACUCGGAAUACUGGUAGAGUUGGUACGAAUCAUUUGAUUGAAUUAACCACGUAUUUAUUUAUCUUCGAAAAGAAGCGAAUUUCUUUGUCACACCACAUCGUGCUUGUAGGGAACGCGAGGUCUUCUGUAAACAAACACGCCUAAGAAGGUACAAAAUAAGGUCUGAAAUACGGAUAUGCAUAGAUUAGGCAGAAUAAUUUCACGUUCCUUUGAAAAUUAUUUUUGUAGUGGUAUGAGUAGAUUUCCCAGGAAAGAGUGGUCACAGCUGGGAAAACAGUUGCUGCUUUGAAGAUGCUUUUCCCAGGCGAAAGGCUCACGUCCCCAACUGUGUUUGGGAUAAACAAUGCGUGGUGCAUUUCUUGCUUUGGUUUAAAGGAAUUGGGCGUUUUUCAGCACAUAUUAACCAGCAAAAGUUCUGUGCUUGCUCUGGGCAUUUGCAUUAAUCUGUACAUAUUCAAGUUUAGUUCCUUACUUUUCCUCGUACCCAGGAAUUGAGGUGAUGGGAGUUUGGUGAAAUGCAACCGUUCCUGGUUUGCCAUGAAGAGGGGAAAUUCUUUCUCUUCUUGGAGCCCAGCCGACAUUUCCUUUCAGCUCUCUUUACUCAGUGGUGAGAACUUUCCUUGACUGUUCUUGCUAGGCUUCCAAUAUAAAUCCUUGCUUUCAUGACUUUAGCUGCGCAUAUUUUCAGGAAACUGGAGCUCAGCACAGGGAUCCCACUGAUGGCUGAGAGUCACUGAGGGCAGGAGCAGGGGCAGGUGAUACUGGGGGUGUGCCCCCCAGCUCCACUCAAGGGAGGACGCUGCUGUUGUGCCUUUGUCAACUGUGGUUCUGUUUACUCAUUCUCUGUUUCUGGUUCUAGUUCAUCACAGAGGCAUUUUGAGUGAAAACUGCCAGAAAAGGCCUGAAGUACCUAAUAUAAAAAAAUUAGGCCCAAAUCCUCAGAAAUAAGUAGGUGUUCAGCAAAAACAAAGUACAUCCGAUUACAUGUGUGAAUUCCCAAAGCAUUCUACUUGGCAAGAAGUUGCACUGUAAGCUUGAGAGGAUAAAUGCUUACUACGUUCUGAUGUCUGUGGAGGCCAUUCACUGGCAAUUGCCCUUGACAGGGCUGGGGACAUGGAGUGUGUGCACUGUAACAGAGGACUGCAAACUGAAUCCUGUGCAUCUGCUCCUUCCUCUUGAUUGCUCUUGGUACAGUUUUGUAAAUAUUAGUUUACCUAAAAAAAGAAAAAAAGGCACCGAGUUGAAUGUUUAAAUUAAGGUCACUGUUAAAAUCAGCAGCUUUCCCAGUCCUUGACAGAAUGCUGCUGCUUUUGAAAACCAAAUGGGCAUAAUGAGGAUUUUUAUGAAAUACUAAUUAUUUGAUGGAAUCUAUUGUAAAACAAAACCUUUCUGAGCAGAUAGGGGUGGUGAUGGCUGCUUCUGCAGUAUGGAUGAGGAACUGGCAUUAUUUCACCAGGGUUUUCCUCCUCCAAAAUGCCCUUUGCAUUUAGAGGCUAUAUUGAGAGCCAUGUGAAAGAGUAGUAUAUGUUUAUAUAUGUUAAUUGAUAAAUCACAGUAUAGAUAAAAUGUCUAUUUUGUGUUAGAUCAAAGCCAUGUAGAUGAAUAAAUUCUUAUAGAAUGCUUGUGUUAUGUCCAACAAGUAAUUAGAACAGAAAAUUAAUCCUUGGAUUUGUAGAAGCUGCCUGAAGUGUUGCGUGUACAAGCAUGAAGGUAUUUGAUGGGAGAGCAUCUUACCUAAAGAACCAGACCCUGUCUUUGAAUGCAUUUCCCUGUUUCUAAUUGAAUCCCACUAGAGUUCUGUACGACACGAAGCAGAUGAUCAUCAUACAAUGUUUUAUUGAAUUUUCAGCAUUAUCUUAAUAAUUUGCAUCUGUAAGGCAGGCUUUGCAAACAGCAAAUGUACACAAGGGAAGAUGGAGAGCUCUGCCCCUGCAUCCUUUCUAUUUGAAGCACGUCAGAACCAUUCAGAUGAUCACCUAAAAUGGAGCAUAGAGUUUACAUGAAAGCAUGCAGGGAAGAUACGUGUCUUGGUAACUGUUGUUGUAUUCUACCUGUACGUUUUGACAUAGUUACUAAUACAAAUUGCUUAAAUGUAUCUUAUAUUCUGAAGGCUUUAUUUUAAUAAGUCCGUGUUCUUAUUUGAUGGUUUGAAGUUCAACAGUCUUCAUUUAAAAUGUAUUUCCUUCUUUACAAAGAGUGGUCUGGAUUAAGUCAUGUUCUGGUUUAGGUUUAUGAUAGCAGUGGCCAGCUGUCCCAAACCUAUUGGUCAUACAAUAGCAGCUUCUGAGCUGAAAGGCCUUACCCUGUAGCAAGGAGAGUUGAGAGGAGCAGAAAUCUCAUAGGGACCAGGGGCAGGAUUGCCAAGGAUGCUCACACAGCCCCUGUUGUGGGCUGAGCAUGUGCUUAGCUUCUGUGCCAUCGGCUGUCAGUGUCAGCAGCUCCCAGCCAGCAAGUCUGCACUUGUGAUCCAUGGCACCUCUGCAGUGCCACGUGUCAUCGCCUCUUCUGCACCACAAUAAAGAAAUAGCACGUCACUUGUCUUGCUGCUCCAAGAGUGUUCAGCUUUUAAUGAUAUCAGGAGUAAUUCUUCUGAAUUCAUAUCUUUGAAAGCCAAGAAAGCUUCUAAUUUAAGUUCUCGAAGGUAUUGCUGCCUGCAUCUCCUUUCUGUCUUGUUGGCCAGCCCACAGAUUGAUGUUUGAAGCAUGGGACAACACAGAGAGCUCUUUCUUUGAUUGCUCCCCAUCUGCACUUGUAACUGAAUAGUGGUACACAAAAGUUAAGUAGUUGCUGUAGUCAGGUAAGGCUAUUUCUCUUCAGUUCUGAAUGGAAGAGAAUGAAUAGAAGAAAAUCUCAUUUGCCAUUAUGUUUCUGUUUCUAUUGAGAGAAUAUCCAGUAACGGAAACGUUGCUGUGCUUGAGGCAGAAGGUAUCCAUCUCUGCUGCUGUUAGACGACCAGUGAACUCGUCAUGUCAGAAUAGCCUUCAUGCCACUGCUAAGGAUAAUUUAGCAGUAUCCCAAUAUUCUUCCCAUUUCUCUAUUAUGUCUCUGUUAGGGAGUUCUUCUGAAGUCCUUCCAGAAAACAUAUGCUAUGCAAUUUGGAAAGAUUUUAAGCCUUUGGAAUGAUUUUGCUUGCAGGUCAAGCAUAGGGAUUUCUAAACAAAGUCAUUGUGUUUGAAAAGCUUAUCCUGCUGCAUUACAUCCCUACUUAGGGUACGUGCAUUUAAAAACGUAGGGUUGGGGUUUUUUAUAAUGAAUAACUCAGUAGUUUGUGAACUCAGAACGUACAAAUUUCUGUGUAUAUUUGUAGAAGACAGUGUUUGAGUGAUUUGGAAAAACAGGUUGAAAACUUGGCUUGGUUUUAUCACUGGAGAUGAAUGACUCUGAAUCCUUCCUAAACACACUUGACGAGGCUACUUGACGAGGCUGAGACAAGCAUCUCUAACUCAACUGCAGUGGAAUGAACUGUAUGAUGUACAUAACUGAGGGAGCACACGAGAUGCUGAGUGAAAGGCAGUGAGCUGAUCCUGCAGGGCCUGAGGUCCUGAGAAGGCAUUGCUUUCUUGUUGUCAGCUUGGGUGGUUGGCUCGAUCUGCAGCUGUUCCUUCUUGGCUCCUGGCUGUAUCGCACUGCUGUGUGAUGGAAUGGAAGUCCAAAAGGAAGCUAAAAGGCAAGGGCUAAAACAUAUCAUAUGUCAAUGGAGAAUAAAUAGUUUGGAAAAUACCAUUUUUCCAAUGGUAGGGAAGACAUCACGAUUCUAAAUAUGAAUGGAGAGUGCUCAGAUUUUCAUAUCUGGUGUGUCUCCUUAAGAUGUAGCACAUGGCACAGAUCACUGUCUGUCACUGUAUAUCUCUGACAACAGAGCUUAAGAGUAUACGGGCAAGGUGGUCUGCAUGCAUGUCUUAAAAAUGGCUUGUUCCCUAUCAUAUGUUUCUGCAGAUUAAACAUUAAGUGGAAAAAGAAAGAUAAAAUGCAUUUCUGAGGUGGAAAUGUUUAUUGGAGACAUGUUUAAUAAACAAUGUAAUAAUAAUAACAAUAGCUUAACCUAAGCAGUCUGAACGAGAAAUGUCUGUGUCUGGCUGUGUAGCAAUGGGCCGCUGUAAGUGUAAUUGGUAACAUGAGAGUAAACUUGUGUUGCAAAGAGAUAAUUCGGUUAAUUGAAUUUAACAACGAAUUUAGCUCUGUGCUCUUCUUUGUUUGAAAGUCCCAAACAUUUGUGUGCUGCUCUGAAUGAGUGGGGAAAGGCUUUUGGGUUGGAAAGGAAGAGUAGUGUCCCCUCAAUUCAAAUCACACCCUCUUUUUCAAGCAAAAUCAAAUGAAUUCAUUGAUUCAUCUUCAUGAAUAGCUAUUACCAUUCAGAUCUCCCUUCCGUGUGUGCGUUUGUUCCUCCUGUUUAUAUAGAAAUAAGUUCAAAUGGAAUUAAAUCACGCUCGAGGUUGAAUUCUACAUACUUUCACCUUCUGUAAACCACAUUUUGACACAUAAAGUAACCAUCCUAACCACUCAGAGUUAUCUAGGUAACCUCCUCCCUUCUGCAGUCUUAAUCAACAGCUGAUAAAGUACAGCAAUCGAUGACAUUAGGGCAAUGUAAGAAGAGAUGGUGUUGUUUCCAGUUGAUAGAAGCAAUAUUGAAGACAAUCAUGUUUUAAGAUUUCUGCUUUUUGCUUUUUGAAUUUGCUUGAUAGCAGCUGUUCCCUUUUGGAAUGGAUGGGUUGAGCAUUUUGGAUACCAGCCUUUGUUUUUUUUUUGUGGACCAGAAGGGGAAGGGGCAGUCUUUCUCUGCAUCUCGUCUGUCCUGUGCAGGAUCUGGGGUUGUUUGACCCACUGACUCGACUUCCUUGCCCCGUGCAUUCACUUCGUUAAUGCUUUACAUGAAUUAAACAAACUUCAUCUUGAAAAUGACUGUCUGUGCUUUUCAUGCCUGCACAGUCACUGUGUAGUAAAUCUUAAACUGUUGAAAGGAUGCAGUGGAAGGAAACUUAUGUGAUUAAAUUACACAUUAGGGGAAAAAACCACCACCAACAACUUCUGUGAAGAGGGGUAAUUUUUUCACCUGGGAGAACACUUGUCAUUUAUUCACAACAGCAUGCUUAAAUUUAGUCAUCUCAGGUACAGCUCAAACCUGAACCAAAAUAUCAUCAGCAGGAACCUCCUCUGGUAGCUCAGGUGUGAGAUGUGCUUUUGGACAUAUAAGGGAUGUUGGAUGGAGGAAUUCUGAUUGGGAAACUGUAUUGCUGCAACCCCAAAGAAGGUGGUUUAUUCAUGGAAAGAGCUGGGAUUACCCAAAGCUGGUGUGCAGUGCUGGGGCUGUGUGCUUAAUUGAUGGAAAUGCAUUGCUGGAAGUGUGAUCUGUUCCUUUGUUUGUGCUGUUUGAAACAGCUGUCCGUCAGAGGGGUGGUUAAUGUGCACCGGGACAGGGAUGAUUGUGGUUAAUUCCAAUCAUGAAAGUAACGAGGGAAAAUGGACAUACGUAUCGUCUUGGAGUAGCAUGAGAUUUGCUGCUCUGUGUUGUCGAGCAGCUCCUAUGCAGAGAAGGCAUGGCAGUGCUUGCAUCUUUGAGAGAGAAAAUACCAUUAGUGCUCUACCAGAGAGAUGGGAGUAAAUAGGAAUUUCUCCUUGUCUGGUGAUUAACAGUGCCUUGGAAAUGGUCAGCAGUUGGGCAAACUCCUCUCUGCUGUUCCUGUUUCAGUGUUUCAGGAACGUCCAGCUAGUUCCAAUGCAGCAUCAUCCUGGGGCCUCUCUGCUCUUAGGUCAAACCUUUUGUGGCUACAACUUCACUGGGAAACUCUGAGUAUUUCAUGAGAAAUAAGUGGGAUCACUGUCUCCUUUGCUGCUUAAUGCUCUACUCAUUGUUUUAAGCAUCUACGUUUUAAAAAUCCUUUAGUGUGCUAAUUGGCUCACCUGUGAUGUUUAAAGUAGGGCACAUCAUCACAUUGUCUGGAGUUCUGGUGCUGUGCUUGGUGAGCACAGAGGUGGAAUUGGUUUGUGUAUUUCAGAGCUGCAGUGAGUGAUGGUUUAAUGACCUUGUGCACAAAUCUCUAGGAACUUUGUGGCUUCCUCUGAGGAAGUUCAGCAGUAACCUGCAUUAAGCAUCAUCCAGUUUUAAAACCCAAUUAUUUUCUAUAAGAAAUUAGAAUCUGUUUUCUACCGUGUGGUGCUAACGUUUGUUUUCUUAUCACCAUUUAUCUUCAAAUGAACAGAGCAACCCAUGUGCAUCUUAGGGUCCCCAAGACCUAUGGCUUCUGGGGCUGGGGUGGGCAGGGCACCAAGUGCAGAUCUGUGCACCUUUACACAAGUUCUUCUUAAAAAAAAAAAAGGAAAAGGAAAGAGGCUUUUUCAUUUUUAUAAGCAAUUCUUACAGUCUUUUUCAGAAUGUGGCUUCUUUAAAGCCACAGCAUGUUGUUCCAACCAUCUGAAUGGGUCUGCUAAAUGGAGACAGAUCUUAUAUGACUUUUGUUUGAGUCUGAAGGGAGAUGUGGAUGCACAUAUGUAUGUGCUUGCAUUUUUGACAAAAGCCCAAUUAUAUCCAUCCUGAGAAGUGCUGUCCUGGGGAAUCCUCAGGAGAGCAAAGCGUUACGUUUUGCUGCAGUGAACUUCUUUGAGAUGAACCAUAUAGUGACAGGUGAUUUCAGGUUUGAUCAGGUGCUGAUGUAAACAGCAGAUCAGAUUUGUGAAACGAAAACUCAUCACCAUGCUAGAUUAUAUUAAGAUCAGAAAAAGUUAGUUGUGGAAGACAUGCUGGAAUACAAUAACGAUAAUACUAUAUAGUUCUCAAAAGCAAAGUCCUUUAACUUAACACAUUUGGGUAAAAAUCACUGUUUUCUGCAUCUUCACAUCAAUAUGUUGUAUGGUAUUUAAGUGGAAGUACCUUCUAUACACCAGCAAAACAGCAUCUCCGAUAAUCAAGUUAAAUCUAGAGUCUUCCUAGCUUGAUAAAAUUUUCUUCUAUUUUAUCAUUCAUGCAUGUAUUAUAUAAAAUAAAGCUCCUUCGGUGCUCAGCUUUUAAUAAUCCUGCUCUUAAUUAAAUAUAAAUCUGACUAUAACAUAUUCUUCUACAUUGAAGUUGUCAUAAAAACAUUCUGAAUAUAAACCUCCCAUACUCAGUAGAGCCAUACAAUACAUACAGAGGCAGGCAUGCUUUUUGCUGUUAGUAGUAAGCGUUUUGUUCACUAUUUGCACAGCUUCACAGACAGCUGUGCUGCACAACAGCCCUAAAUCAGACCUCCGAUUGCUCAUUGCUGUCGGGGAUGACAGACGUCAAGGCAGCCUGACAGAAGCGAUGCAACGUGGACAUCUUGGUUUUCUGUUCAAUGUACAGUCGCAGUUUGUCUCUGAAGGUUUCCCCAAGGAAACUGUAAAUUAGAGGGUUCAAACAGCUGUUGGAGAAAGCUGCGAGGUUCACAAUGUGUCCCGUUAAAGGGUAGUCGUGUCUGAAGGAUGGGCUGCUUGACGAGGUGGGCUCACUUUUCUUCUGUAGAAGCUGGACGCUAAUGAAGACGUUUUCAGGGAGCCAGCAGAUAAAGAAAACCAGGACCACAACAAAUAUCAUCCGAAGAGCCUUCUGUCGGCGCAGGCGGAGGCUCCUGUGCUUGUGUGCUUUUAUAAGAACUCGGACGAUUAACGAGUAACAGAGACCGAUGAUCACAAAGGGGAUGAUAAACCCCAGGGUUAUUUCUAGCCACUGAAUUUCUCUUACAUCUGCAAAACAAAAAUAGACCUCUCCGGUGUGUUGUAAGUGCACGGCCGUGAAUGGCACUAGUGCUGCAGAAAUAGAUGCCAUCCAUAUGAGACCACAGCUCAACCUGGCGUGUUGCAUAGUGCGAAAGAGGUUGGACCUCAUGACUUUUGCCAGUGCUAUGUAUCUGUCAAAGCUCAUCCAAGUCAGAAAGAAAAUGCUGCUAUACAUGUUGAUCUGAAGGAACAGAGACAUGAAGGUACAUAUGAUAGUGAUAUCGUAAUACUUUUCAUCAAGAUUAAAAACCUCAAUGAGAGAAUCAGCGACUAAAAUGAGAUCGGCCACGGCGAGGUUGAUGAAGUAAAGGUCUGGGAUAGUCAUCUUCUCACGAAAGCUUAUGUUUACAACCAGAAUCAGAAUGUUUCCUACAAAGCCAAUGGGAAAAAGAAAUAUUGUGUAAAGGCACGAUAAGAAAAGCCCAAUAACGUAUUGUUGGUGCUCUGAUUUAUCUGCUAAUCUAGAAGACAGGCUCUCGUUACACAGAUGCGAUCCACUGAGGUUGAAAGUUGUGCUGUUACAUAGAACAGGUGGUACUGAGGCAGAGUAGGUUUCCAUGGUUAAAGUAUCUGCACAAAAGGUAACGGCAGUCACAGUUUGGUAGUAAUGCCAAAAAGAUGAGAUUUUGGGGUGUUUUCAAAGCAGUGAAUUGAAAGCAUUUUGAUUGGAAUGGAAGAAAGCCCACGCUUAUAAAUAGGAAAUUCAAAUUCUUUAGAAGCCGAAUUAAUUAGACUUGAAAUUGACUGAAAUAUAACAGUGUGAAAAGUACAUCUUUCUUUCUUUUUUUCUUACAUGACACUACAUGCAUUGCAGAUGGGAGCACUUUCAGUUCCUAUAUGCUGUAAGACCACAGCGGGAUCUUUUUACCAUAAUGGUACUUGGAUCGUUUCAAAGGAGGGUUUUCAUCAGCAGUUCUCCUUUGUGCAGGUCGGAAGAUGGCAGAGUUCUAGCUCCAUUUGUGUUCUGUUAAUACUCAGCGCACAUCCUUGGACCUGCAAUUUGCAAAUGGGAAACUGUUAAUCUAAUAGCCCAGCGUUCUGCCAUGCACAAUGUGCUUCCUCCACCUUCAGGCGUGCAGCUGAGGCUGUAGGAAACGUCAUGUUGGAAUGGAUGUACAGCGGUUCUGUUAAAAGGAUUAACAUUAGUUUGAGAUGAUAUUGUGUUGUGAGGAUAGAUCUGUUAAAACAUAGCUUACCGUUAGGGAUUCAGUAUUGGGAUACGUGGAAAUACAGAAAUCAAAUGGAAGAAUUUGGCCUAAUGAAGAAAGUCUAUAAAUAUAAAGUUUAUCUUGUAUAUGUAUAUGCUGUGUGUGUGUGUCUAUUCAGUUCAUCAGCAGCUCGUAAGCUUAUUAAGUAGGAGAGUCUGUGGCUGAGAAGGCAGCAGAGACAAACAGCAGUUGGUUCCUAUUGCUUUCAGAGCGAAGGAAAUGCAGACUUUAGAAACGAAGUAAUAUAAGCAGCACAUGGGUUUACACCAACAUCACUUUGUUUUUCUUUGCAAUUAAUUAUGCUACACUGAUUUCUGGAAGGGAAUGGAAACAUUGGUAAUCCUAUUUGUUUCCUUACAAACACUGAAUGCUGUGGACUUGGAGCAUUGCUGGAAGUUUAUUUAAAUAAAAUCCCAAACAAAUUGACAACAUGGAAAUGGUAACCCAGGGUAGCUUUUGUUAAAUGUUUUGGAUCGCUUUAGUGUUCAUCCUACCAGCAGAACUGGUAAAAAUUAGUGCUCAGUUCCACGUUUUAAUGAUUUCAAGUAGCACUGAUGCACAGAAGGAGCAAACCACAAACAGAGAAGGAGCCUUACAGUAUUUGUAGUCAGAAAUGCACGUCUCAGUUUGCUAAAAUGUAUUCAUUUGGUUAGAAGUAGCCAGCAGAUACUUGAAUCAAAAGAGGUUUUACUUCCAAGUGAGAGCCCUAAGUACGCUAUCACUGUUGCUGUGCUUUGAAGCGUUUUCAUAAGGUAAAUCUCCAUGCUAAAAUAUCCAUGUGAAAUUACAUGUAUUUGAAGAAGGUUUGGUGUUUGUUUCAAGCAGAUACAGUGAGGCACGGACCGCUGUCUUUCAUGUAACACCCUUUUAUCUUUGAGUAAGGCAGUAAAAUGCUGUGAAUAAAAGGAGGGUUAAGUUUUGAGUCAAAGCAAUUGAUUCUACAUGGCAGCCCUGUGCUCAGGCUUUAGUAAAGUCUGAGAGCCCACCGAAACCCAAGCUACUGCAAACACUACAGGUAACCAUGGACUGUGAAACACUUCGUUUUACCUUAAUUCCAUUUUUCCCGAGCUGGUUUUCCUGCAGACAGCAGAAGGCUGCUUCUCGCUCACAUACGCACUUAAUGGAUGUGUCAACUUCCACUGCCGUGCCAGGAUAAGCUUGCCUUUAGGUGUGCAGAGCUGCAGGGAAUGUCACCUGUUGACAAUUCAGCAGUAAGAAAAUCAUUUCAAAGCCUGUCCUGUUUUAAAAUGCCUUAAAUAAAGGAUAGUUUACAACAGCAAAAUGUAGAUCUUGCUGCAUGUCCUUGGCAAUAAAACAAGCUUUAUAGAUUCCCAGGGUUGUUCUAAUUUGUGUUCAGUCGAAGUGCUGCUGAACAGCCUCAUAGGGCUGGAGUUAACCCUGUUUCUGCUGGUUUCCUUUCUGCUGGAUCUACUCACGCAGCUGCUGUCUCCUAUUUGCCACUUUCCUUUUUCAUACCGUUCCUUUUUGCUCUCCUUUUGCCUUCAGCAUGUUUGCAGGCAGGGCAGUGUAUUCAAACCUACAGCUCAGCUGAUCAAUUCUUAAGAGAUUUAUUUGCAAGUCACAACUGAGCCAAUUUUACAGACAUAUAAAGCAACAAUUUCCGUUAUACAAGAUAUUCUUAAAUCCCCUGGCCAGUUUAGGGGAAAGUAUUUGAUGGAGUGAAAUCUAGCAGCUAAGAAAGGUCAUUUGCUAAACUUGUGUUACAAAUCUUACCUGCAAGUCAGUCCUGUGUUGUCUGUCUGUAUUUACAUUUUCAGGUGCAUGUUGUCAUCUUGACACGUGGUAGAAUCAUUCUGUUCAAAGGUCCUCAGAUGCAAUAGGCUCCUUUUGCAGUGAUCGUGGAGCAGCAGUGAGCGUGGAGUCCUGCAUUGAAAGCAGCAGUAGUGCAGGUGGAGUUUUGCAUUUCAUCUGUAGGGGAGAAGAGGAGCUCUGACAUCUCAGAAACACCACCUACUGGUGGCUACAGCUCUUAAGACUGAAAGAAAAUGUAUUUUUCUCCUGAAAGAGCAAUUUUGUCUUUGCUAAUUAACUUUUUAUGAUGAUAUUGAUCUGCUAACUUAACGUUAAGUGUCAUUAAUGGGCAUGCCGUACUUUGCUGUGAUGUUCCACUGCUAUGAAAAGAAAUGAAUUGGAUUUCAGCAUUAGGAUUCCAAGAAAUCAAUGUUAUCAGUUCAGAAGCGAGGAGUGAAGUUAGCGUGUCGUUGCUCCUGCGCAGUGACUGAAUGGUUUGGGAGUGCUUUACUGUUCAGCUGCAGAGAAGGUGCACGCAGGUGGCAUUCUGGAGUCUUCCUGAUGGGGUAAUGGGGACAGAGGGCCUCAGAGUGCUUUGCUUUGAGAAGUGCACAGCUAUGGUUGGGUUAUAGGACUGCAGUAAUUGUCGUGUUAGAAAGUCUUGUGAUGCUGGCUUUGAAGGGCUGUUUUUUUUUCUCUGUUCUAAGAGCAGGAUUAUAAAGAGUCUUUCUUGUUGUUUGUCCAUCGUGUGGUUUCGCUCUGCUUAGUUCUGUCCUUCAGAACUCGCACUGAUCUCGUAAGGGCCAGCAGGAUCUGUGUUUCCCUUUAUGCCUGGAGGUGGCUUCUGGGCGUUCAUGCCUGUUAUGUUGGGGUCCUGCUCCAGCAAUCAGCUGCUCUGUCUGCCCCUGGUUUUCUAUCUGUGAGCAUCAGCUGAUUUGCUAUCAGAACGUAUAAUGCUGUUAUCAGUGCUGAUUUUCCUGUUUGAAUUUAUGACAAGAAAUAUGUCCUCCUGCCACACUUCAAGUGUAGGUAGGAAAUUUCCUUCCGAAAAAGCCCUGAAGUGGCUGUUUUUUCUGCUAGGAGAGGUAUGAAGCCUAAGAAGAGGCCACAUCUAAUAUGAUUACAUUGUAAUUAGUGACUUCUGUGUUUCAGUAAAUAUUUUAUGAGAUGGUCAUGUGAAUUCUCUGAAUUUUGUUUCCUAAAACAAAUGACAGCAUCUCCAGGCUCUUGUUUAUGCAAUCAGAUUAUUGUUACUGAUUAAUCUAUCUUAAUCUCACCGUUCAGCACUUCCCUAUUGAAAAGGGUCACAAAGUGCUUGAAGCAAAUGGUAGCAGCUGCCGAACGCCGCAUUCCCUUUUCCUCCAUCAUUUGCUGAUACCCCAUAGGGCUUUAUAACGAGUGCCUCCAUGAUCCGUAUUGAGCUGAAUUGUGACAGUAUUACAGCCCUGCCUGUCGUGCCUUAUCACAACUGCUGCUGAGAACAAGCGUGGAUGCAACUGGUGUGCUGGCCUUCCUGCCUUGUCCUGCUGCAGUAAUCCAGCCUUUGGUGUUUUUCCUAGCAGCUAUUUUUAAAUCUGUAGUAGUCAACUUCUUAAAUGCUGUAUGUACCUCAAUAAACACAAAUAAACCAUAAACUAGCACUGUAGUGCUUUGAAGGAGCACUAGUGUAAUGGUGAUGUGCUGAGGUGUACCAGGAGGCUUGGAGUGGAGUUUAAUAUAGGGUACUGUAGGUAAUUUAGCAAGCAUCAGCAUAGGACUACUGUGUUGCAAAAAGGAUGUGAUGGUGGAGGAAGAACAAAGUGGGAGGUGAGUAGAGGAGGAACAGAUGCUGCUGUAAAGUUCAGGCUCUGCAAGUAGGUGGAACUCCCCCUCCAGAACUGUGUCAUCGUUCUGUUAGCAUGAGCAGACCUGCGUCCUUAUCCAUCUGCUGAGUGACAUCUCCUGCCUGGAGCUGUUACCCUCCUCUGGAGUACCUCUGUGUUUUAUCCUGACCAGCCACAGGAUCACUGUUUUUCUUGCAAAGAGUCAAGUAUAGUUUGGGUUGGAACAAAUGAUCGUGUUCUGUGCCUACAGAAAACCUUGCCUAGAGUGUUUGUUUGUUGAGCCUUUUUAGUUGCCAAUAAUUCUGAGAAUGCAUUUUUCUUACUAAAAAUAUAUUUUUUCAAAAUUCAGCCUUUGCAGGGACAGCACCUGUACCCGUUCAAACUAUUCUGGUAGAAUCUUUUUGUUUUUCUGAUGCUGUAUAUUGCAAAGCACAUAGAAGGGAGGAGAAACACAUCCACAUUUUAUGAAAUUGGACCACAAAACAGUGUAAGAGUGAAGGAUGAUUCAUCAUAGCACUUCAGUGUCUAUCCAAAUGUGAUAACAAUAAGUCACAAAGCAGCAGUCCUUUCUGACUCCAGCAGUUGAGUGUGGCAGUCCUUCCUGGGCACUUUGCCUCUCCAAUUGUCCAAAAGAAAGGAUUUCAUAGUUGUCACUAACUGAUCCGAAAUGAGAGAAUAAGGAUUACAGCGCUAUG